rnacentral:rRNA from 1 species
CGGAUUUAUUGGGCGUAAAGAGCUCGUAGGCGGUUUGGUAAGUCGGGUGUGAAAACUCUGGGCUUAACCCAGAGAGACCACCCGAUACUGCCAUGACUUGAGUACGGUAGGGGAGUGGGGAAUUCCUGGUGUAGCGGUGAAAUGCGCAGAUAUCAGGAGGAACACCAGUGGCGAAGGCGCCACUCUGGGCCGAAACUGACGCUGAGGAGCGAAAGCGUGGGUAGCAAACAGG